AGUGAACGCUGGCGGUAGGCCUAACACAUGCAAGUCGAACGGCAGCACAGUAAGAGCUUGCUCUUACGGGUGGCGAGUGGCGGACGGGUGAGGAAUACAUCGGUAUCUACUUUUUCGUGGGGGUUAACGUAGGGAAACUUACGCUAAUACCGCAUACGACCUACGGGUGAAAGCAGGGGCUCUUCGGACCUUGCGCGAUUGAAUGAGCCGAUGUCGGAUUAGCUAGUUGGCGGGGUAGAGGCCCACCAAGGCGACGAUCCGUAGCUGGGCUGAGAGUAUGAUCAGCCACACGGGAACUGAGACACGGUCCAGACUCCUACGGGAGGCAGCAGUGGGGAAUAUUGGACAAUGAGCACAAGCCUGAUCCAGCCAUACCGCGUGGGUGAAGUAGGCCUUCGGGGUGUAAAGCCCUUUUGUUGGGAAAGAAAAGCAGCAGGUUAAUACCCCGCUGUUCUGACGGUACCCAAAGAAUAAGCACCGGCUAACUUCGUG
rnacentral:rRNA from 1 species